GAUUAGGCAUGCAAGUCGAACGGGCCUGGUUUUCGGAUCAGGUCAGUGGCGCAAGGGUGAGUAAGGCGACGGUAACCAACCCCACGGUUGGGUAUAGCCGCGGGAAACUGCGGGUAAUCCCCAGCGAUGUAAUGUACCGGCAUCGGUGUUUUAUCAAAGNUCCGGCGCCGUGGGACGGGCCGUCGUGGUAUUAGGUAGUUGGCGGGGUAACGGCCCACCAAGCCGAUGAUGCCUACCGGGCGUGCGAGCGUGGCCCGGCACACUGGGACUGAGACACUGCCCAGACUCCUACGGGAGGCUGCAGUCGAGAAUCUUCGGCAAUGGGCGCAAGCCUGACCGAGCGACGCCGCGUGGAGGAUGAAGGCCUUCGGGUUGUAAACUCCUGUCGAGGGGGAGGAAGGCGCAAGCUUGACCGAUCCCUGGAGGAAGCACGGGCUAAGUUCGUGCCAGCAGCCGCGGUAAGACGAACCGUGCGAACGUUAUUCGGAAUCACUGGGCUUAAAGCGCGUGUAGGCGGAUGGGAACGUCGGUGACUGAAAGCCCCCGGCUCAACCGGGGAAGUGGUACCGAAACGACCCGUCUGGAGGGACGUAGGGGGAUCUGGAACUUCCGGUGGAGCGGUGAAAUGCGUUGAGAUCGGAAGGAACGCCCGUGGCGAAAGCGAGAUCCUGGACGUCUGCUGACGCUGAGACGCGAAAGCUAGGGGAGCAAACGGGAUUAGAUACCCCGGUAGUCCUAGCCGUAAACGAUGGGCACUGGGUAGGGGGCUCGCCGAUGGGCUCUCUGCCGUAGCGAAAGCGUGAAGUGCCCCGCCUGGGGAGUAUGGUCGCAAGGCUGAA
rnacentral:rRNA from 1 species